UUCAUAGGACCUGCAUAGAAGCCAGUAAUCCAUUUAACGGUGUGCUAAUUGCAUUAGUGGCUUCUAUGCGAGUCAUAUGAA
rnacentral:pre_miRNA from 1 species